GACGAACGCUGGCGGCGUGCUUAACACAUGCAAGUCGAACGGUAAGGCCCUUCGGGGUACACGAGUGGCGAACGGGUGAGUAACACGUGGGUGAUCUGCCCUGCACUUCGGGAUAAGCCUGGGAAACCGGGUCUAAUACCGGAUAGGACCCUGGGAUGCAUGUCCUGGGGUGGAAAGCUUUUGCGGUGUGGGAUGGGCCCGCGGCCUAUCAGCUUGUUGGUGGGGUGAUGGCCUACCAAGGCGACGACGGGUAGCCGGCCUGAGAGGGUGACCGGCCACACUGGGACUGAGAUACAGCCCAGACUCCUACGGGAGGCAGCAGUGGGGAAUAUUGCACAAUGGGCGCAAGCCUGAUGCAGCGACGCCGCGUGAGGGAUGACGGCCUUCGGGUUGUAAACCUCUUUCAGCACCGGCGAAGCGCAAGUGACGGUAGGUGCAGAAGAAGGACCGGCCAACUACGUGCCAGCCGCCGCAGUAA
rnacentral:rRNA from 1 species